GAUGAACGCUGGCGGCGUGCCUAAUACAUGCAAGUCGAGCGAACGGACGAGAAGCUUGCUUCUCUGAUGUUAGCGGCGGACGGGUGAGUAACACGUGGAUAACCCACCUAUAAUACUGGGAUAACUUCGGGAAACCGGCGCUAAUACCGGAUAAUAUUUUGAACUGCAUGGUUCAAAAGUGAAAGACGGUCUUGCUGUCACUUAUAGAUGGAUCCGCGCUGCAUUAGCUGGUUGGUAAGGUAACGGCUUACGAAGGCAACGAUGCAUAGCCGACCUGAGGGGGUGGUCGGCCACCCUGGAACUGGGCCACCGUCCAGGCGCCUAAGGGAGGCAGCAGUCGGGAAUCUUCCGCAGUGGGCGAGAGCCUUGCGGAACGGCGCCGAGUGAGUUAUGAAGGUCUUGCGUGCGUAAAGCUCGGUUUCGGGGGAAGAACAUAUGUGUACGUUACUGAGCACAUAUUGACGGUACCUAAUCAGAAAGCCCCGGCUAACUACGUG
rnacentral:rRNA from 1 species